AGUGAACGCUGGCGGUAGGCCUAACACAUGCAAGUCGAACGGCAGCACAGUAAGAGCUUGCUCUUACGGGUGGCGAGUGGCGGACGGGUGAGGAAUACAUCGGAAUCUACUUUUUCGUGGGGGAUAACGUAGGGAAACUUACGCUAAUACCGCAUACGACCUACGGGUGAAAGCAGGGGAUCUUCGGACCUUGCGCGAUUGAAUGAGCCGAUGUCGGAUUAGCUAGUUGGCGGGGUAAAGGCCCACCAAGGCGACGAUCCGUAGCUGGUCUGAGAGGAUGAUCAGCCACACUGGAACUGAAACAGGGUCCAGACUCCUACGGGAGGCAGCAGUGGGGAAUAUUGGACAAUGGGCGCAAGCCUGAUCCAGCCAUACCGCGUGGGUGAAGAAGGCCUUCGGGUUGUAAAGCCCUUUUGUUGGGAAAGAAAAGCAGCAGGUUAAUACCCCGCUGUUCUGACGGUACCCAAAGAAUAAGCACCGGCUAACUUCGUG
rnacentral:rRNA from 1 species